UACGUAGGGUGCGAGCGUUGUCCGGAAUUAUUGGGCGUAAAGAGCUUGUAGGCGGUCUGUCGCGUCUGCUGUGAAAAUCCGGGGCUCAACCCCGGACUUGCAGUGGGUACGGGCAGACUAGAGUGUGGUAGGGGAGACUGGAAUUCCUGGUGUAGCGGUGAAAUGCGCAGAUAUCAGGAGGAACACCGAUGGCGAAGGCAGGUCUCUGGGCCACUCCUGACGCUGAGAAGCGAAAGCAUGGGGAGCGAACAGG
rnacentral:rRNA from 1 species